AUUGAACGCUGGCGGCAUGCCUUACACAUGCAAGUCGAACGGCAGCGCGGACUUCGGUCUGGCGGCGAGUGGCGAACGGGUGAGUAAUACAUCGGAACGUACCCUGUUGUGGGGGAUAACUAGUCGAAAGAUUAGCUAAUACCGCAUACGACCUGAGGGUGAAAGUGGGGGACCGCAAGGCCUCACGCAGCAGGAGCGGCCGAUGUCUGAUUAGCUAGUUGGUGGGGUAAAGGCCCACCAGGGCGACGAUCAGUAGCUGGUCUGAGAGGACGAUCAGCCACACUGGGACUGAGACACGGCCCAGACUCCUACGGGAGGCAGCAGUGGGGAAUUUUGGACAAUGGGGGCAACCCUGAUCCAGCAAUGCCGCGUGUGUGAAGAAGGCCUUCGGGUUGUAAAGCACUUUUGUCCGGAAAGAAAUCGCGCUGGUUAAUACCUGGCGUGGAUGACGGUACCGGAAGAAUAAGCACCGGCUAACUCUGUGCCAGCAGCCGCCGCAG
rnacentral:rRNA from 1 species